rnacentral:rRNA from 1 species
UGGGGAAUUUUGGACAAUGGGCGAAAGCCUGAUCCAGCAAUGCCGCGUGUGUGAAGAAGGCCUUCGGGUUGUAAAGCACUUUUGUCCGGAAAGAAAUCCUUGGCUCUAAUACAGUCGGGGGAUGACGGUACCGGAAGAAUAAGCACCGGCUAACUACGUGCCAGCAGCCGCGGUAAUACGUAGGGUGCAAGCGUUAAUCGGAAUUACUGGGCGUAAAGCGUGCGCAGGCGGUUUGCUAAGACCGAUGUGAAAUCCCCGGGCUCAACCUGGGAACUGCAUUGGUGACUGGCAGGCUAGAGUAUGGCAGAGGGGGGUAGAAUUCCACGUGUAGCAGUGAAAUGCGUAGAGAUGUGGAGGAAUACCGAUGGCGAAGGCAGCCCCCUGGGCCAAUACUGACGCUCAUGCACGAAAGCGUGGGGAGCAAACAGGAUUAGAUACCCUGGUAGUCCACGCCCUAAAACGAUGUCAACUAGUUGUUGGGGAUUCAUUUCCUUAGUAACGCAGCUAACGCGUGAAGUUGACCGCCUGGGGAGUACGGUCGCAAGAUUAAAACUCAAAGGAAUUGACGGGGUCAUAGCUGUUUCCU